AUGGACUGUCGUGUGAUCCUUGACAAGUUCGGUUGCUUGAUUCAGGUGCGACAGACGAGCCAGACGGUUGGGACUGGCACCAGGCGUAGGGGGCUCUGGUACAUGGACCAGGAGGUGCAGCCGGACUUGGUGUGUGCUGCGACCAUGGAGGAUAAGGAGAAGCAUGCGAUGAUCCAUCACUGUAGGAUGGGGCAUGUAUCUUUUGAUAAGAUGAGUAGAAUAUUUCCGGAUGUUAUGUGUGGAAUAGGCAAAGGCAAGCUGACAUGUGAUGCUUGU
rnacentral:rRNA from 1 species